UACGGAGGGGGCUAGCGUUGUUCGGAAUUACUGGGCGUAAAGCGCACGUAGGCGGCUUUGUAAGUUAGAGGUGAAAGCCCGGGGCUCAACUCCGGAAUUGCCUUUAAGACUGCAUCGCUAGAAUUGUGGAGAGGUAAGUGGAAUUCCGAGUGUAGAGGUGAAAUUCGUAGAUAUUCGGAAGAACACCAGUGGCGAAGGCGGCUCACUGGACAGGUAUUGACGCUGAGGUGCGAAAAGCCAGGGGAGCAAAGCGGG
rnacentral:rRNA from 1 species